rnacentral:pre_miRNA from 1 species
UUUAUACUCCCUCCAUCCGAAAAUUCUUGUCUUAGAUUUGUCUAGAUACGGAUGUACCUAAUACUAAAACGUGACUUGAUACAUCCAUAUUUAGACAAAUCUAAGACAAGAAUUUUGAGACGGAGGGAGUACAUG